UACAGAGGUCUCGAGCGUUAGGCGGAAUCACUGGGCUUAAAGCGUGUGUAGGCGGAUCGGUAAGUACCUUGUGAAAAUCCCACAGCUUAACUGUGGAACUGCUCGGUAUACUGCCAGUCUUGAGCCAGCUAGGGGCUACCGGAACAAAUGGUGGAGCGGUGAAAUGCGUAGAUAUCAUUUGGAACGCCAAUGGUGAAAACAGGUAGCUGGGGCUGUGCUGACGCUGAGACACGAAAGCCAGGGGGAGCAAAACGGGG
rnacentral:rRNA from 1 species